rnacentral:rRNA from 1 species
GGUUAAGCGACUAAGCGUACACGGUGGAUGCCCUGGCAGUCAGAGGCGAUGAAGGACGUGCUAAUCUGCGAUAAGCGUCGGUAAGGUGAUAUGAACCGUUAUAACCGGCGAUUUCCGAAUGGGGAAACCCAGUGUGAUUCGUCACACUAUCAUUAACUGAAUCCAUAGGUUAAUGAGGCGAACCGGGGGAACUGAAACAUCUAAGUACCCCGAGGAAAAGAAAUCAACCGAGAUUCCCCCAGUAGCGGCGAGCGAACGGGGAGCAGCCCAGAGCCUGAAUCAGUGUGUGUGUUAGUGGAAGCGUCUGGAAAGGCGCGCGAUACAGGGUGACAGCCCCGUACACAAAAAUGCA